rnacentral:rRNA from 1 species
UACGAGGGGAGCAAGCGUUGUUCGGAAUUACUGGGCGUAAAGGGUUGUAGGUGGCUCGCUAAGUCACACGUGAAAUCCCUCAGCUUAACUGGGAACUGCGUGUGAGACUGCGAGCUUGAAGGACAGGAGAGGAACGCGGAAUUCCAGGUGUAGCGGUGAAAUGCGUAGAUAUCUGGAGGAACACCGGUGGCGAAGGCGGCGUCUGGACUGUUUCUGACACUGUAAAACGAAA